rnacentral:rRNA from 1 species
CAAAGAACUYGGCGGUUUUCUAGAUCCCCCUGRAGGAGCUUGCUAUCUAACCGACAACCCACGAAAAACCUCACCAAUCUUUGAAUUUCCAGCNUGUAUACCAUCGUCGUCAGG